rnacentral:rRNA from 1 species
UGAACGCUAGCUACAGGCUUAACACAUGCAAGUCGAGGGGCAGCAUGGUCUUAGCUUGCUAAGGCCGAUGGCGACCGGCGCACGGGUGAGUAACACGUAUCCAACCUGCCGUCUACUCUUGGACAGCCUUCUGAAAGGAAGAUUAAUACAAGAUGGCAUCAUGAGUCCGCAUGUUCACAUGAUUAAAGGUAUUCCGGUAGACGAUGGGGAUGCGUUCCAUUAGAUAGUAGGCGGGGUAACGGCCCACCUAGUCUUCGAUGGAUAGGGGUUCUGAGAGGAAGGUCCCCCACAUUGGAACUGAGACACGGUCCAAACUCCUACGGGAGGCAGCAGUGAGGAAUAUUGGUCAAUGGGCGAGAGCCUGAACCAGCCAAGUAGCGUGAAGGAUGACUGCCCUAUGGGUUGUAAACUUCUUUUAUAAAGGAAUAAAGUCGGGUAUGGAUACCCGUUUGCAUGUACUUUAUGAAUAAGGAUCGGCUAACUCCGUGCCAGCAGCCGCGGUAAUACGGAGGAUCCGAGCGUUAUCCGGAUUUAUUGGGUUUAAAGGGAGCGUAGAUGGAUGUUUAAGUCAGUUGUGAAAGUUUGCGGCUCAACCGUAAAAUUGCAGUUGAUACUGGAUAUCUUGAGUGCAGUUGAGGUAGGCGGAAUUCGUGGUGUAGCGGUGAAAUGCUUAGAUAUCACGAAGAACUCCGAUUGCGAAGGCAGCCUGCUAAGCUGCAACUGACAUUGAGGCUCGAAAGUGUGGGUAUCAAACAGGAUUAGAUACCCUGGUAGUCCACACGGUAAACGAUGAAUACUCGCUGUUUGCGAUAUACAGCGAGCGGCCAAGCGAAAGCGUUAAGUAUUCCACCUGGGGAGUACGCCGGCAACGGUGAAACUCAAAGGAAUUGACGGGGGCCCGCACAAGCGGAGGAACAUGUGGUUUAAUUCGAUGAUACGCGAGGAACCUUACCCGGGCUUAAAUUGCAGAUGAAUUACGGUGAAAGCCGUAAGCCGCAAGGCAUCUGUGAAGGUGCUGCAUGGUUGUCGUCAGCUCGUGCCGUGAGGUGUCGGCUUAAGUGCCAUAACGAGCGCAACCCUUGUUGUCAGUUACUAACAGGUUCCGCUGAGGACUCUGACAAGACUGCCAUCGUAAGAUGUGAGGAAGGUGGGGAUGACGUCAAAUCAGCACGGCCCUUACGUCCGGGGCUACACACGUGUUACAAUGGGGGGUACAGAGGGCCGCUACCACGCGAGUGGAUGCCAAUCCCCAAAACCUCUCUCAGUUCGGACUGGAGUCUGCAACCCGACUCCACGAAGCUGGAUUCGCUAGUAAUCGCGCAUCAGCCACGGCGCGGUGAAUACGUUCCCGGGCCUUGUACACACCGCCCGUCAAGCCAUGGGAGCCGGGGGUACCUGAAGUGCGUAACCGCGAGGAGCGCCCUAGGGUAAAACUGGUGACUGGGGCUAAG